GAUCACUAUGUCCCUGAGGGUUUUACAGGUCUUUUAAAGCUGCCUUCGGUCCAGUGGGGGUGGAACUCUCCGUGAGCCCUUCCAGGCUCCCCCUUACCUCUUCUUCUAGGAUUCCGGUGCUUACACUGGGAUGUCAGGUUUCCCGAGAUCUCUGCAGAUGACAGCUAUUCUCACUCUCACUGUCCCAUCUCAUCCCCAUUCACAAGUCAUACACCCUGCACAGUUACAGCGGGAAGCUCUCUCACUCUGAGUUGUACUUACAAACCGUUGGGGGGGGGAGGUAGUGUGGGGGAUGUGUUCUCAUGCCAACCCAAACUCCAAUAUCUCAAACUCACUGGUUUUCCUUAACCUUUUUUUUAAACAAUAUUUGUUUGUUUUUAAAAUUCCACUAUUUGUACCCCCAAUUACAUUUCCAUGUACCAUUAACAAAUGCAGUUCCAUACAGCAUCGAGACAGUUACUCCUACUACCUCCAAAAUCCACAAACCAAACAAUACAGUUCUUCAACUUCUGCAAACACCCAGCAUUUGGUCUUAUGAUUAGGGUACUCAAUUGUAAAACUGGUCCAAUUACUCAUUUAUGUUCUGGUUGGUUUUUCUUUUUUUUUUUUUAAUUUCAAAUAGUGCUCACCAGCAAUACUUCACCAGUGAGCCUAAAUACAAGCCAAGGGGUCUUCACGAUAUCAAUUUAGACACCCUCUUCCUAUUUCUGCCUCUCUCCGUAUUCAUUCCCAACACUUGCACAGCUGCCCACCACCUUCUACAAUAAACAACAUACUACUGAUAAACAUAAUCAGUACAUCUCUAACAAGAAACAGGAGAAGCAUCGUUACGUUACCAUUACAUUACAUUCAGAUUAGGCACUGGACUGGACAGCCUACUGUGGUAGUGACAGUACUUGAAAUAGCUUUUUUGCUACGUCACAUCACAAUCAGAAAGACAGUGACAAUAAUCAGUCCUACCUUCCCUCCGUAUGCUUUUCCCAUAUUUUCCUAGCUGCCAUCCUCCUUCACCAAUGAACAUCAUGUCCAUGAUAAACAUCACUUCCAUCCAUCAGUAGAAAUUAAGCUCUAGAAGUUGAUCUAAUUGUUCUGCGACACUUAUAGGAUCCUCAAUUAAGAAAUUCUUCAAGUUCUUGACUUUUCUUCUAGUAACAAAAGCUAGCAUUAGCAUAUCUUAUUUUCCUUUGACCUAAGGAGACUGCCCUAAAGGAUAAAGUGAAGUAUUACUGAGGUUCAUAUUAGAGAAAG